rnacentral:rRNA from 1 species
GCCAGGGAAUUACGAGCCCAAACUUAAAACCCAAAGGACCUGACGGUGUCCCACCCCCCUAGAGGAGCCUGUUCUAUAAUCGACUAUCCCCGAUAAACCUCACCACCUCUCGAAUAACAGCCUGUAUACCUCCGUCGAAAGCCUACCAUGUGAACGCAAUCAGUGGGCACAAAGAUUUUUAACCCAAACGUCAGGUCAAGGUGCAGCCCAAGAGGCGGAAAGAAAUGGGCUACAAUCUCUAACCAUAGAGCAAACGGAAAACUGCAUGAAACACAGUAUUUGAAGGCGGAUUUAGUAGUAAAUAGAAAAUAGAGAGUUCUUUUUAACUAGGCACUGGAACACGUACACACCGCCCGUCACCCUCUUCUAAUUUAACCAUAAAUGUCAUUAACUAAAUUCAAAACAACAGAAGAGGCAAGUCGUAACAUGGUAAGCGUACCGGAAGGUGUGCUUGGUAUAACAAAAUGUAACUUAAUAAAGCAUCUUGCUUACACCAAGAAUAUGUUAGUAUGACCCUAACCAUUUUGAGCUAAAAACCAAGCCCCUAACAAUUCAAAUGAAAUUAACCUAAAAAUAAAAACUAAACAAAACAUUCUAUUAAUUCUAAGUAAAGGCGAUUAAAAAGUAUUUAGGAG